GCCUGGGUGGCUUAGCCGGUUAAGUGUCUGACUUCAGCUCAGGUCAUGAUCUCACGAUUCGUGAGUUCGAGCCCACAUUGGGCU
rnacentral:tRNA from 1 species